UAACCUGGGGAAACCCAGGCUAAUACCGCAUACGUCCUACGGGAGAAAGGGGGCUUCGGCUCCCGCUAUUGGAUGAGCCUAUGUCGGAUUAGCUAGUUGGUAAGGUAAUGGCUUACCAAGGCAACGAUCCGUAGCUGGUCUGAGAGGAUGAUCAGCCACAUCGGGACUGAGACACGGCCCGAACUCCUACGGGAGGCAGCAGUGGGGAAUAUUGGACAAUGGGGGCAACCCUGAUCCAGCCAUGCCGCGUGUGUGAAGAAGGCCCUCGGGUUGUAAAGCACUUUCAGCGAGGAAGAACGCCUAUCGGUUAAUACCCGGUAGGAAAGACAUCACUCGCAGAAGAGGCACCGGCUAACUCCGUGCCAGCAGCCGCGGUAAUACGGAGGGUGCAAGCGUUAAUCGGAAUUACUGGGCGUAAAGCGCGCGUAGGUGGCUUGAUAAGCCGGUUGUGAAAGCCCCGGGCUCAACCUGGGAACGGCAUCCGGAACUGUCAGGCUAGAGUGCAGGAGAGGAAGGUAGAAUUCCCGGUGUAGCGGUGGAAUGCGUAGAGAUCGGGAGGAAUACCAGUGGCGAAGGCGGCCUUCUGGACUGACACUGACACUGAGGUGCGAAAGCGUGGGUAGCAAACAGGAUUAGAUACCCUGGUAGUCCACGCCGUAAACGAUGUCGACCAGCCGUUGGGUGCCUAGAGCACUUUGUGGCGAAGUUAACGCGAUAAGUCGACCGCCUGGGGAGUACGGCCGCAAGGUUAAAACUCAAAUGAAUUGACGGGGGCCCGCACAAGCGGUGGAGCAUGCGGUUUAAUUCGAUGCAACGCGAAGAACCUUACCUACCCUUGACAUCUACAGAAGCCGGAAGAGAUUCUGGUGUGCCUUCGGGAACUGUAAGACAGGUGCUGCAUGGCUGUCGUCAGCUCGUGUUGUGAAAUGUUGGGUUAAGUCCCGUAACGAGCGCAACCCUUGUCCUUAUUUGCCAGCGAGUAAUGUCGGGAACUCUAAGGAGACUGCCGGUGACAAACCGGAGGAAGGUGGGGACGACGUCAAGUCAUCAUGGCCCUUACGGGUAGGGCUACACACGUGCUACAAUGGCCGGUACAAAGGGCUGCGAGCUCGCGAGAGUCAGCGAAUCCCUUAAAGCCGGUCUCAGUCCGGAUCGGAGUCUGCAACUCGACUCCGUGAAGUCGGAAUCGCUAGUAAUCGUGAAUCAGAAUGUCACGGUGAAUACGUUCCCGGGCCUUG
rnacentral:rRNA from 1 species